ACGUAGGGGGCAAGCGUUGUCCGGAAUUACUGGGCGUAAAGAGCACGUAGGCGGUUUAUUAAGUUAGAUGUGAAAGUUUGCAGCUUAACUGUAAAAGUGCAUUUAAAACUGGUAGACUUGAGUCUCGGAGAGGUAAGCGGAAUUCCUAGUGUAGCGGUGAAAUGCGUAGAGAUUAGGAAGAACACCGGUGGCGAAGGCGGCUUACUGGACGAGUACUGACGCUCAGGUGCGAAAGCGUGGGGAGCAAACAG
rnacentral:rRNA from 1 species